GGCUUCACCAGAUACGUGGAGAAGGAUAUGUAGGGCACACCCCAGAUGUGGAUGCAGUUUGGGCGAUGAGGGAGACUGCACCACCCUGCAGUGUCACCUGCCUAGGCACAGGUAAACCAGGGAUCGGAAAGACUGGAGGGAAUUAACCUUCUCCCUCCCCCCAUUCGAGUGCCAGCGCGCUGGCAGGCUCCUCCAAAGCGCCGGAGCGUGGGUCUGACGGUUCUAUUUCGGCAUGCAGAACCUGAGACCCCACCCGAGCCAAGCGGGGAGAGAGGAGGGUAAAGCGAUGGAGGAGGGGGCAGCUUGCGCCUGGCUGGGGAAAGCUCCGCGCGGCAGCACCCGGAGGUCCGGUGGCCGGCGCGCACUGGUACCAGUCUCUCCACUGCGGUAGCAUCCCGACAUGACAUUGCAGCUGCAACAAAGCGCCGGCCUCCGCCGACCCUCGGAGCCCCACACCGCGGCCCUGGCCCCACACCACGCAGAGGGGCAGUGGCCGUGGGCGGGGGCCUGUGGCUGCCGGUGCGGGGGGCGCGAGGUAGGGGAAAAAGCCCUCAAAUGCGCAGAAGCCGGGCGGCCACCUAGCGCCUCCUCCCGCAAAGCCAGACUGCAGGGAAAACAAUUGCUCUUCAUUCCCGAGCCCCGGCGGAGCCCUGCGAUUCCCCCCAAUAACCUGGUCGGGGCCCUGCGACGCCUCUCGAUGGUUUCGGACACGAUGAUUAAAUCAGAGAGCGAAGGUGGAUGUAGACCAUAGAGCACUUAGAUGAACUGCCUGACAAGAAAAAGAGGCCUGUGCGUUGCUUCUCAAACUUUGCUGCACUGUGGAAUCGCCUGGAGAGUUGAAAACGUGUAUAUUGAUUCCUGGGCCUCAACUCUGGAGACUCUGAUUUCAUUGGAACAGGACAUGACUUGGCCUGGGGAUUGAGGUACUGACAGCACAUGGCACACUGUAUUGACAUUACCUCUUCAGCCAUCUGGUCCACACCCCUCAAUUGGGAGCCCUAUGGUGCUGAGCUUAUCCUAGCCUUCUUUGAUCCCUUCUGCUUCAAAAGAAGUUCACUUUUUAAACUAUCAGCUUCAAGAUCCAACACCCAGUGCUUCUGAAGGAAACCUGCUAAGUCAUAAGUACCUACUCUUUCCUUUAUUAGUUAACAUGUUGUCCUUUGGUUCUUUGUUCUAUGCACACUUUGGAAGAAGCUAAAAU